rnacentral:rRNA from 1 species
GCAAGUCGAGCGCGAAAGUCCUUCGGGGCAAGUAGUGCGGCGGACGGGUGAGUAAUGCUUGGGAAUCUACCUAGUAGUGGGGGAUAACGUGUGGAAACGCACGCUAAUACCGCGUACGUCCUACGGGAGAAAGCAGGGGAUCUUCGGACCUUGUGCUAUUGGAUGAGCCCAAGUCGGAUUAGCUAGUUGGUGAGGUAAUGGCUCACCAAGGCGACGAUCCGUAGCUGGUCUGAGAGGAUGAUC